UGACACGCAUCCAUAUCUACGCAUGUGCAAUGCUUUUCGACUUUCCCGCCCAUAUAGUCAUCUUUAUGGAUUUGUCUGCACACAACGGAAUAUGUUCCAAGGUAAACUCAGCAAGCUUUCUAAGUUACUUCAGAUGCUGGCGAUAAGUCUUGAGGUCUGAACAAUUUUACAGGACACCACCAUCGCUGAGAGCAAAGAGGCUCAAUUCUUUAAUGGAGGACAGCAGAGAUGUUGCACAGUAAGGGCAAGAACGCAGUACAAAGACACAAGAAAGACAAUGAGACAAACAGAGACACCAGUUCCUGCUGCUGUGAAGGUCAUCACACCACUGAUCUACUGACCGUCCUUCUACGAGAUGCCCAGCCAAUGCCUGACCAGCAACCACCGGCGAAACCAGUUUAAUUAGCUUACCCGUUCACAUAC